AAUGAAACAAUGAACUUGACAGAACUGAGCUGCGAAGUAAGCAGUGUCCAGUUUUCUUUCUUGGGGGCGCUUAUGAUUAUGGUCGAGCCCACAGUAUCGGACACUUACUCUGCAUUUCUCCAUUACACAAUGCAGGAGUUCGUUGGUGCCCUUUGGCUCUUACAGAAUCCAGACAAAAUCAGAGAGUUUCUACAGAAGUGCCAGACUGAAGAAUGGAAACACACAAAACACAUGGUUCCUUUCAUGUGUGGGCUUCUGAAUGAGAGGAAUAUUCGAUUGGUAAAUGGUCUUGUUCCAGCUCAACAGAUCAAGGAGACGUCAGAUUGGUUCUUCAAGGAAGUGGUGAACACAUUUCUUCCACUUCAAACAAACCAAGAUCAUGCAGAAGGUGGUGCUCCUGAGUUUGAGGUAGAUCUUCUGUUUUUAUGUCAGUGCUUGUAUGAAUCUCAGUCUACUGAGGCCUGUUUGCUUCUUCUGGACAAACUGGACUACAAUCUACACCUGGAUGAAGAACAUCUUGAUCCUCACCAGUGCUGUGCAGUCUCCUAUAUGAUCAGUCAGUCUGCAGAGAGAAAGGUUGACUUGGACCUGAACAGCUGCACUGUGUCAGACCAAGGACUAAGGCUGAUACUGGGCUCUCUGAAGAAUGUCCGAUAUCUCAGAUCUGACCCCUCAAUGCUGUGUCAACUCUGGACAACUUUGCUGAGCGGUGAGGCAGACAUUGACUUCACCAGCUUGCUUGGUCUCUGUGGAAAUGAGUUGCGCCUUCCAUUCCUGGGUGAAAGACGAGUGUUUGAGAGAGCAGAAGAAGUGAUGAAGCAGAGCCUGGAGAGGGUUAACCUCUGUCUACACUGGGAUCGGACAACUCUUCUCAGUGAAGCUCUCAGCAAGACCAUUUUAAAGUGUUUAACACAUAUCAACAAACUCAGUUUUAACCCACUACAUAAUCAGAGAGGAUCCCCUGAAAAACUAGAGAAAGAACAGAAAGCAGUCCUACUAAAUUUGUGUCUACAAGCCGCACUUUAUCACAGAGAAACGUUCCAGGGAGCUGUGAACACACUGCUGUCACUCUUCUCUGUGUAUCAAACUGAGAGAUAUGACAUCCUGCUGGAUCUGUACUCACAUGUGAAGGACUAUGAGACUCAAACAGGCAGGAGUGUCCUUCCAUCAUUGAGGCCACUUUAUCAGUCAGCUCCUGCAGUCUGGUCCAUAGACCUCUCAGAGAGAAAAGCCUCCCUCCUCCUAGAAGUGCUGAAACUCGAACCAGAUAAAAAAUCUGUCGAGCUGAAAGGCUGGUCAGACAAAGAGAGUGAAGUGAGGAGUUUCCUUCAGUGUCUGCCCUACAUCUCACAGCUGAGUUUCUAUCCAUGGUGGUCUGACAACUCAAAGCUGAUCAAGUUCCUGGUGGGUCUCCUGUCUCAAGCAGCAGAGUGGGAGGAGCAGUCAGGAGAGAAGACACUGAAGCUGCUAUCAUCAGUGUUUACUUACAGCACUUUCCCUCUCUAUGACUGGGAUGAUUAUCAUAAGUGGUUUCAAUGUGAUUUCCUGCUGGAUCUGUGCUCACAUGUGAAGGACUAUGAGACUCAAACAGGCAGAAGUGUCCUUCCAGUAUUACAGCCAGUUUACCAGUCAGCUCCUGCGGUCUGGUACAUAGACCUCUCAGAGAGAAAGGCCUCCCUCCUCCUAGACGUGCUGAAACUCCAACCAGAGAAGAAACCAGUAGAGCUGAUGAAGUGGUCAGAUGAAGAGAGUGAAGUGAGGAGUUUCCUUCAGUGUCUGCCCUACAUCUCACAGCUGAGUUUUACUUCACCACAGGAUCAGAGUAGAUCCCAUGAAGAGUGGAGAAAGAGAGAGAAGACAUUCCUACUGAAUCUGUGUCUUCAAGCAGCCCUCCAUGAGAGAGGAACCAUACAAACAACUGUAGAGAAAGUGUUGUCACUGUCUGAAGUUUAUCACGAUCGGAAAUGGGAUCUCCUGCUGGAUCUGUACUCACAUGUGAAGGACUAUGAGACUGAAACAGGCAGGAGUGUCCUUCCAGCAUUACAGCCAGUUUACCAGUCAGCUCCUGCAGUCUGGUCCAUAGACCUCUCAGAGAGAAAGGCCUCCCUCCUCCUGGAAGUGCUGAAACUCCAACCAGAGAAGAAACCAGUAGAGCUGGAAGGCUUGUCAGAUGAAGAGAGUGAAGUGAGGAGUUUCCUUCAGUGUCUGCCUUACAUCUCACAGCUGAGGCUGAAUGUGGGCAUGGCAGUGAGACUGGCCAGACUGGCUAGGAGGACAGGGAGAGGGGGUACUCCACUGACUGUCCCAGAACUCUCCCUGGUCCUAAAGAGCAGCCAGCCACCAGAGAGAGUGUUAUCCAGAGCUCUGAGUAGUGUGGCGUCCCUGCUGAGAUUCUGGAGGGUUCAGUGUCUGGACCUGACUGACUUCUGCAUCCAGGGUCACUCUCUCAUCACACUGCUGUGUCACCAGGACCCUCACACUCUCAGACUGAACUCAGACACUCUGCAGCAGCUGGCUGUGGCUGUGUAUGAAGCUCAGGACAAGGACUUGACUCAGUGGUUCCUGGAGAAGGUUGGUGGAGACCUGACCUCCUGCAGGCUGGACUGGGACGUGCUUCUCUCUCUGCUGCAGCAUUCAACCCACAACAUCACAGUGGACCUCAGGAAGAACAGGCUUCUAGAGAAGAACAUCUCAGAUCUUCUCCCCUUUCUGGGAAGGGUUAUAUUCAAGAGGCUCAGUUCCAGCUUUGUGAAGUCCACCAUCAGACAGAUCUAUGACAGUAGAGACAGUGACUGUGUGUCCAGUUUGUUGAGGUCUUCAGACCAUUGGAUCAACCUGAACAGCAGAGAGCUGGACAGAGUGGACUGUACUGCUCUGUGUUUCACCCUGCAGCACAGCCACCAAGUCAAAGUCAACCUGCUGUGGACCUCCAUACCACCGGGGGAGAUAGAGAGCAUCCUGCCUCUUCUGGACAGAGUCUCCCAACUCAGUGUUGACAGGAAGCUGUUGCUGAGUUUCCUCCACUCCUGCGCUGCCUCUCAGAUCCUACAGGGGGCACUAUCACCACCACCAACAAUAACAACAACAGCAGCAGAGCUGCUCAGGGCUCUGCAGCACAGGUUGGACUUCUCCUGCUCCUCCUCUGUGGACCUGUCAGCUCACGACCAGGGGGAGGCGCUGUGUCUGACCACUGACCACUGUAGGGCCAUAAACUCUGUUCUGAAGCAGAGCCAACACAGCACACGGCUGGUUCAGAACCCGACCCGGAACCAGUCCCGAAACCAGCCCCAGGUGCAACUCAUCCUUAAAGACUGUGAGGUGGAGCAUGGAGCACUGAGAGAGCUGCUUCCCAUCUUGCAUAUUGUCAAGCUGAGGUUAGACACACAAGGACAAACUAGUUUAUAAAAGUAGGAGUUAGAGCUGUCUCAUAAUGUUAUCUCUGGUUAUUGUCCCCUCAGCCCCAGCAAAGCUCUGCUACUUCAGCUGCUGGACCAUGUGUGUGAGGGGAUUGAAGAGGGGGUUCUGAAGCACGCAGAGUCCCUGUGCAGAGCCCUGGAUGGGGAGCUGGACCUCAGUAAGACCAGGCUGAACCAGAAGGCCUGUGGAUCUCUGGCCCUGGUUCUGGAACACUCAGAGGGGCUGUCAGAACUGUACCUCAACCACUGCCAACUCACAGACCACCACCUACAGCCCCUGCUCACACACCUGCACAAAGUUGAAGUCCUGGACCUGAGUCACAAUGACAUCACUGAUGCUCUGACCGACAGAAUACUCCAAUUGGUCUCUACCAACACUUCAAUACGCACCGUACGGCUCUUCAACAACAGAAUCAACGACAGAAGUCCGUUCCUGACAGACAAGAGGUUUGAGAUCUGGUGAAGCAGCAUCAGGUCCAAGUCCAGACAGAGGAAGAGAAGAUGGAUGUUGAAGAAGAGAAGAUGGAUGUUGAAGAAGAGAAGAUGGAUGUUGAAGAUGGGUGUAGUAGCUACGAAGCCUCGGCAGGGUGAGACUAGAGGGACUUUUCUGACCAGCAUCCCAUCAACCUUGACCCUAACUGUAACCUGAUUUUAACCAAUUCUUAAAUAUUGAUUUGCAUGUCAGCCACAUCCCCUUAGUUUUUAGCUGACCUCAUCAUGGUGUCAGACGAACGGCAAGUGAUUAUGGGGCUAAGGUAUUGUAAAAAUAGUUGAGACUCCAGAACUCUGGAAUGUUCUGAGUGUAAUGGAUAGGAAUGUGUAGUUCUAUUUACCUCUUACAUGGUUCUUAAACACACAGGAACAUGUGUAGUAUAACGUUUUUUGAGCUUUACUUAACUUGAUGAUUUUUGUGAUCAGUCAAUUUGUGAAAUUCCAUCAGAAGGAAUAGAUUGUAUAUGCAUUUCUAUAGUCUAGUAUUUAUCAGGUGGAUGGGAAUGUGUUCUACAGUUGCAAUGGGAGCCUUAAUACAUGAGUGUUUUGUUGCAGGUCAACUGCAUGGUAUUGUGUUACUCAGGCUAGCCUUGUUGUGGACCAAGCUUCCCUAUUCAGGAAGCCAGAGGUGUGUUGAGUUCGCUUGAACGUUUGCUACGUUGUGCAACGGUUUGUACUGAAUGACACGUUUCCCCAAAAUGUUUUUGAACAGACUUCGAGGUACAUUUGGUGGGUGUGGCGAGGUGUGGCUUGAAGCAAUGAGUGACAUAUUUUUAUUUUUAAAGGGCAGUGGCCAUGCUGACAGCAUUCUCCAACCCACAACCCAACCCUUCCCCAUUUUUCAACUGGUUGUUCAGUACAUCACCGUUUCCGUACAAUUGAACCGUUUCAGAAUGUAAAAACAUACUGAUCGCAGCCCUGGUGAAGUCCAUGGUAGAAAGUAACUACAAGUGUGGUGGAAACCAUUGAAGCCUCGCAACACGUCAAACCAAUCAAUUGCCUUGCUUUGGCCGAGCACUAAAGGUGCCCACUAGUGCCGUAGGAGCAACAGUGUGAGUGGAUGCCCAGGAAGUUGCUGAUGUAUAACAUAGCCUUUAUGUACACAUACCAUAACAAAAUGUAUUUAGUAGAGCAGUUGUAAUACCUUCAUCGACUUGUGAAGAACAUUACACGCAGCUUCCCUUUUAGGGGCAUGUGGGGGAGGUUUCUUGAAAUAUAACAUCCAAUCAAAAUGUAGCCGCUGGAACCUAGCAGACCAUUCUAACUGUUUUGGCUAAUACAAAAUUCUCCAGACCUCCAAAGGAGGCAUGACAACAAUGUGAUUUUGGAGGUAUGGCUACAUGAGACUAGUACAAGCCUUUCUCAUAUCAAAACAGACAAACUAUAAGAAAUAAUAUAUGAAUAUUUUGUGUUUUUAAUAAAUGUACCUUGAGGCCCAUGAUUGGUUUUUGACUGUGGUCUCUUCAGGUUGAAAUCAUUACUAGUAAAUCCUAAAUAAUCUGUUUCAAGUUAAUGCUGGUAUUAAAGCG
rnacentral:lncRNA from 1 species